rnacentral:rRNA from 1 species
UGGGGAAUAUUGCACAAUGGCGCAAGCCUGAUGCAGCGAUGCCGCGUGAGGGAAGAAGGUUUUCGGAUUGUAAACCUCUGUCAUCAGGGACGAAAAAGACGGUGCCUGAGAAGGAAGCUCCGGCUAACUACGUGCCAGCAGCCGCGGUAAUACGUAGGUGGCAAGCGUUGUCCGGAAUUACUGGGUGUAAAGGGAGAGUAGGCGGGAUUGCAAGUCCGUUGUUAAAUCUAUCGGCUUAACCGGUAGCUGCGGCGGAAACUGUAGUUCUUGAGUGAAGUAGAGGCAGGCGGAAUUCCUAGUGUAGCGGUGAAAUGCGUAGAUAUUAGGAGGAACACCAGUGGCGAAGGCGGCCUGCUGGGCUUUAACUGACGCUGAGGCUCGAAAGUGUGGGGAGCAAACAGGAUUAGAUACCCUGGUACU